rnacentral:lncRNA from 1 species
CUCUCGUGUCUGUGUGCAGGGAGCCGAUGGGGAGCUGGGCGCUCGGGGGCCACAGGGGCACUUUGGGGCGAAGGGCGAUGAAGGAACCCGUGGAUUCAAUGGGCCGCCCGGCCCGAUCGGGCUGCAGGGUCUGCCGGGCCCAGCGGGGGAGAAGGGUGAGACAGGUGACGUGGGCCCCAUGGGCCCCCCAGGCCCCCCAGGCCCACGUGGGCCAGCCGGACCCUCUGGAGCUGAUGUAAGUGCCCCUGACCCCCUCCCCCCCAACCAGCCCCACUCAGGGCAUCCACAGGGGUAACCAGCUCUGCU